rnacentral:piRNA from 1 species
UUCCAGGAGACUUGAGUUUUUGAGACGU